rnacentral:rRNA from 1 species
GACGUAGGGUGCGAGCGUUGUCCGGAAUUAUUGGGCGUAAAGGGCUCGUAGGCGGUCUGUCGCGUCGGUCGUGAAAACUUGGGGCUUAACCCUGAGCUUGCGGUCGAUACGGGCAUGACUGGAGUUCGGUAGGGGAGACUGGAAUUCCUGGUGUAGCGGUGAAAUGCGCAGAUAUCAGGAGGAACACCGGUGGCGAAGGCGGGUCUCUGGGCCGAUACUGACGCUGAGGAGCGAAAGCGUGGGGAGCGAACAGG